GACGAACGCUGGCGGCGUGCUUAACACAUGCAAGUCGAACGGAAAGGCCCUGCUUUUGUGGGUUGCUCGAGUGGCGAACGGGUGAGUAACACGUGAGUAACCUGCCCUUGACUUUGAGAUAACUUCAGGAAACUGGGGCUAAUACCGGAUAGGAGCUCCUGCUGCAUGGUGGUGGUUGGAAAGUUUCGGCGGUUGGGGAUGGACUCGCGGCUUAUCAGCUUGUUGGUGGGGUAGUGGCUUACCAAGGCUUUGACGGGUAGCCGGCCUGAGAGGGUGACCGGCCACAUUGGGACUGAGAUACGGACCAGAAGCGUACGGGAGGCAGCAGUGGGGAAUAUUGCACAAUGGGCGGAAGCCUGAUGCAGAAACGCUGCGUGCGGGAUGACGGCCUUCGGGUUGUAAACCGCUUUCGACUGUGACGAAGCGUGAGUGACGGUAAUGGGUAAAGAAGCACCGGCUAACUACGUG
rnacentral:rRNA from 1 species